rnacentral:rRNA from 1 species
GGCGGAAUGCUUUACACAUGCAGUCGAACGGCAGCACGGGAAGCUUGCUCCUGGUGGCGCGUUGGCGNACGGGUGNGUCAUGCGUCGGAACGUCCCGAGUCAUGGGGGAUCACGCAGCGAAAGUUGUGCUAAUACCGCAUACGCCCUGUAGGGGGAAAGUGGGGGAUCGCAAGACCUCACGUUAUUCGAGCGGCCGACGUCUGAUUAGCUAGUUGGUGAGGUAAUGGCUCACCAAGGCGACGAUCAGUAGCGGGUCUGAGAGGAUGAUCCGCCACACUGGGACUGAGACACGGCCCAGACUCCUACGGGAGGCAGCAGUGGGGAAUUUUGGACAAUGGGGGCAACCCUGAUCCAGCCAUUCCGCGUGAGUGAAGAAGGCCUUCGGGUUGUAAAGCUCUUUCAGCAGGAACGAAACGGUACGCUCUAACAUAGCGUGCUAAUGACGGUACCUGCAGAAGAAGCACCGGCUAACUACGUGCCAGCAGCCGCGGUAAUACGUAGGGUGCGAGCGUUAAUCGGAAUUACUGGGCGUAAAGCGUGCGCAGGCGGAUUGUUAAGCAAGACGUGAAAUCCCCGGGCAUAACCUGGGAAUGGCGUUUUGAACUGGCAGUCUAGAGUGUGUCAGAGGGGGGUAGAAUUCCACGUGUAGCAGUGAAAUGCGUAGAGAUGUGGAGGAAUACCGAUGGCGAAGGCAGCCCCCUGGGAUAACACUGACGCUCAUGUACGAAAGCGUGGGUAGCAAACAGGAUUAGAUACCCUGGUAGUCCACGCCCUAAACGAUGUCAACUGGUUGUUGGGGGAGUGAAAUCCCUUAGUAACGAAGCUAACGCGUGAAGUUGACCGCCUGGGGAGUACGGUCGCAAGAUUAAAACUCAAAGGAAUUGACGGGGACCCGCACAAGCGGUGGAUGAUGUGGAUUAAUUCGAUGCAACGCGAAAAACCUUACCUACCCUUGACAUGUCCAGAAUCCUGCAGAGAUGCGGGAGUGCCCGAAAGGGAAUUGGAACACAGGUGCUGCAUGGCUGUCGUCAGCUCGUGUCGUGAGAUGUUGGGUUAAGUCCCGCAACGAGCGCAACCCUUAUCAUUAGUUGCUACGCAAGGGCACUCUAAUGAGACUGCCGGUGACAAACCGGAGGAAGGUGGGGAUGACGUCAAGUCCUCAUGGCCCUUAUGGGUAGGGCUUCACACGUCAUACAAUGGUUGGUACAGAGGGUUGCCAAGCCGCGAGGUGGAGCCAAUCCCAGAAAGCCGAUCGUAGUCCGGAUUGUUCUCUGCAACUCGAGAGCAUGAAGUCGGAAUCGCUAGUAAUCGCGGAUCAGCAUGUCGCGGUGAAUACGUUCCCGGGUCUUGUACACACCGCCCGUCACACCAUGGGAGUGGAAUCUGCCAGAAGUAGUAGCCUAACCGCAAGGAGGC